rnacentral:tRNA from 1 species
ACCUGACUGGCUCAAUUGGUAGAGCAUCUGACUCUUAAUCUCAGGGUUGUGAGUUUGAGCCCCACAUUAGAUG